AUUGAACGCUGGCGGAAUGCUUUACACAUGCAAGUCGAACGGCAGCACGGACUUCGGUCUGGUGGCGAGUGGCGAACGGGUGAGUAAUGUAUCGGAACGUGCCCAGUCGUGGGGGAUAACGUAGUGAAAAUUACGCUAAUACCGCAUACGAUCUAGGGAUGAAAGCGGGGGAGCGCAAGACCUCGCGCGAUUGGAGCGGCCGAUAUCAGAUUAGGUAGUUGGUGGGGUAAAGGCCCACCAAGCCAACGAUCUGUAGCUGGUCUGAGAGGACGACCAGCCACACUGGAACUGAGACACGGUCCAGACUCCUACGGGAGGCAGCAGUGGGAAAUUUUGGACAAUGGGCGAAAGCCUGAUCCAGCCAUUCCGCGUGCAGGAUGAAGGCCCUCGGGUUGUAAACUGCUUUUGUACAGAACGAAAAGGUUUCUACUAAUACUAGGAGCUCAUGACGGUACUGUAAGAAUAAGCACCGGCUAACUACGUGCCAGCCGCCGCGGUAA
rnacentral:rRNA from 1 species